rnacentral:tRNA from 1 species
GCGGAUGUAGCUCAAUGGUAGAGCCCCAGCCUUCCAAGCUGGCCAUGCCAGUUCGAUCCUGGUCAUCCGCU